GUGGGUGAUUAGCUCAGUCGGUAGAGCAGCGCAUUCGUAAUGCGAAGGUCACCAGUUCGAUUCCGGUCAGCGGCACCA
rnacentral:tRNA from 1 species